AUCAAUUAUAACCGUUGCUGUUAUACCGUUGAUUGUGAUCGCGAGUAUUGUAAAAAAAUAUAUUUUAUUAAAAGCAAAAAAAAUGAAUACAAGUAGUUACCAACAAAAAAUUACGCGGUCGUGUAUAACCAUUUGCAAUACUAUUGUAUGUACGAUACUCAUCUAUAAAUAUAGAAGAUGAUAUGAUAUCAUUACCUACAUCGUGUCGCAAAAUAAUGGAAAAUGUUACGAUCAGUUUUAGAAAAAAAUAUUCGUUCGAAUAGAUAAUGCCGAUCGACUGUUUUAGGUUUUUUUUUUUUUUUGUUAUUUGCUUUAACGUGUUUAACCACCUCAGUCGAUUUUUUCCCGUAUAUUAUUGGUCGGCUGCCUCCGAGGACCGAAUUUCAGUCAAAUAUUAUAAAUGCGACAAUUUAUUUUUGCCGGAACAUUUGCGGCAGCAUUUAAAGUACCAUCUCGUUUAUUCGGCGGUCGUUUAUAAUAUUUACGGA